rnacentral:rRNA from 1 species
AGAGUUUGAUCCUGGCUCAGGACGAACGCUGGCGGCGUGCCUAACACAUGCAAGUGGAGCGACGAACCGGGCUUCGGCCCGGGGCAAAGCCGCGAACGGGUGAGUAACACGUGGGUAACCUGCCCUGAUGAUUGGGACAACCCGAGGAAACUCGGGCUAAUACCGAAUGUGCCCUCCGGCCAUAAGGCCGCUGGGGAAAGGAAGCUUCGGCCUCCGCAUCGGGAUGGGCCCGCGGCCCAUUAGCUUGUUGGUGAGGUAACGGCUCACCAAGGCGACGAUGGGUAGCUGGUCUGAGAGGACGAUCAGCCACACUGGGACUGAGACACGGCCCAGACUCCUACGGGAGGCAGCAGUGGGGAAUCUUGCGCAAUGCGCGAAAGCGUGACGCAGCAACGCCGCGUGGGGGAAGACGGCCUUCGGGUUGUAAACCCCUUUCAGUUGGGACGAAGCUUCGCCGGUGAAUAGCCGGCUGGAGUGACGGUACCUUCAGAAGAAGCCCCGGCUAACUACGUGCCAGCAGCCGCGGUAAUACGUAGGGGGCAAGCGUUGUCCGGAAUCAUUGGGCGUAAAGAGCGUGUAGGCGGCUCGGUAAGUCCGCUGUGAAAGUCCAGGGCUCAACCCUGGAAUGCCGGUGGAAACUGUCGAGCUAGAAUCCGGAAGAGGCGAGUGGAAUUCCUGGUGUAGCGGUGAAAUGCGCAGAUAUCAGGAGGAACACCAAUGGCGAAGGCAGCUCGCUGGGACGGUAUUGACGCUGAGACGCGAAAGCGUGGGGAGCAAACAGGAUUAGAUACCCCGGUAGUCC